CCUACGGGGGGCAGCAGUGGGGGAUAUUGCACAAUGGGGGAAACCCUGAUGCAGCGACGCCGCGUGGGCGAAGAAGUAUUUCGGUAUGUAAAGCCCUAUCAGCAGGGAAGAAGAAAUGACGGUACCUGAGUAAGAAGCACCGGCUAAAUACGUGCCAGCAGCCGCGGUAAUACGUAGGGUGCAAGCGUUAUCCGGAUUUACUGGGUGUAAAGGGAGCGAAGACGGGACGGCAAGCCUGAUGUGAAAGCCCUCGGCGCAACCGCGGGACUGCAUUGGGAACUACUGGGCUGGAGUACUGGAGAGGUAGGCGGAAUUCCUAGUGUAGCGGUGAAAUGCAUAGAUAUUAGGAGGAACACCAGUGGCGAAGGCGACCUACUGGACAGUGACUGACGCUGAGGCACGAAAGCGUGGGGAGCAAACAGGAUUAGAUACCCCGGUAGUC
rnacentral:rRNA from 1 species